AUAACAUUUGUACCGUCGGUCUACCGAGCAAUAUCACCCGCUCGGUGGAAGAUUUUCCAUCCGUCGU
rnacentral:pre_miRNA from 1 species